UAAGCAGAUAGUGAAAGCGUGAGGCUCAACCUCAUAUCCAUUAUUUGAACUGCUAAGCUAGAGGGCGAGAGAGGUUACUAGAAUUCCUUGUGUAGGAGUGAAAUCCGUAGAUAUAAGGAGGAAUACCGAUGGCGUAGGCAGGUAACUGGCUCGUCCCUGACACUAAGGCACGAAAGCGUGGGAGCGACCGGGAUUAGAUACCCCGUUAGUCCACGCCGUAAACGAUGGAUGCUA
rnacentral:rRNA from 1 species